UAAUAAAAUAUGCACAGCAAUGCUUAAAUUAUCUUAAGCACAAGCAAAUAUUAUCUUCAAAUCUUUGUCAUAGUGUUUUAUAUACAUAUGCAAAAGACACUUUGAUAGGCAGUUUGGUGAUUUAUUAUACAACCAAACAUACAAUAAUAAUACAGUCUAGCAAUUACAGCCCUUGGUAUUUGCAUUUUAAUACCUUAAUAUAGAUUUUGACCUCUUUUUUUCAGUAACCAAUUCUCACAUUUCUGAGACUUUUCUUCUGACAAGGGAAAAUAUUAUUUAUUGAAUAUUCAAAAGAUUGAAAAAGUAGAUUUAUUAGGUUUUCUUUUUGAAUGCAGUGUUUCGUGUAAAGCAUAUAUGUGUGUUUGUGUGUGUCUGAUUGUUUUCCUUCA
rnacentral:lncRNA from 1 species